rnacentral:rRNA from 1 species
UACGAGGGGGCGAGCGUUGUUCGGAAUUACUGGGCGUAAAGCGUGCGUAGGUGGUUUGUUAAGUCUGAUGUGAAAGCCCUGGGCUCAACCUGGGAAUUGCAUUGGAUACUGGCAGGCUAGAGUGCGGUAGAGGGUAGUGGAAUUCCCGGUGUAGCAGUGAAAUGCGUAGAGAUCGGGAGGAACACCAGUGGCGAAGGCGACUACCUGGACCAGCACUGACACUGAGGCACGGAAAGCGUGGGGAGCAAACAGG